rnacentral:rRNA from 1 species
GAUGAACGCUGGCGGCGUGCCUAAUACAUGCAAGUCGAGCGAACGGACGAGAAGCUUGCUUCUCUGAUGUUAGCGGCGGACGGGUGAGUAACACGUGGAUAACCUACCUAUAAGACUGGGAUAACUUCGGGAAACCGGAGCUAAUACCGGAUAAUAUUUUGAACCGCAUGGUUCAAAAGUGAAAGACGGUCUUGCUGUCACUUAUAGAUGGAUCCGCGCUGCAUUAGCUAGUUGGUAAGGUAACGGCUUACCAAGGCAACGAUGCAUAGCCGACCUGAGAGGAUGAUCAGCCACACUGGAACUGAGACACGGUCCAGACUCCUACGGGAGGCAGCAGUAGGGAAUCUUCCGCAAUGGGCGAAAGCCUGACGGAGCAACGCCGCGUGAGUGAUGAAGGUCUUCGGAUCGUAAAGCUCUGUUAUUAGGGAGGAACAUAUGUGUAAGUAACUGUGCACAUCUUGACGGUACCUAAUCAGAAAGCCACGGCUAACUACGUG